rnacentral:rRNA from 1 species
GUUGAACGCUGGCGGCGUGCUUAACACAUGCAAGUCGAACGAGAAGUGAAGACGGAAACCUUCGGGCGGAAGGCUUUAUUUCGAGUGGCGGACGGGUGAGUAACGCGUGGGUAACCUGCCUCAUACAGGGGGAUAACAGUUGGAAACGACUGUUAAUACCGCAUAAGACCACAGCACCGCAUGGUGCGGGGGUAAAAACUCCGGUGGUAUGAGAUGGACCCGCGUUCGAUUAGCCAGUUGGCGGGGUAACGGCCCACCAAAGCGACGAUCGAUAGCCGAUCUGAGAGGAUGACCGGCCACAUUGGGACUGAGACACGGCCCAAACUCCUACGGGAGGCAGCAGUGGGGAAUAUUGCACAAUGGGGGAAACCCUGAUGCAGCGACGCCGCGUGAGUGAAGAAGUAUUUCGGCAUGUAAAGCUCUAUCAGCAGGGAAGAAAAUGACGGUACCUGAGUAAGAAGCCCCGGCUAACUACGUG